rnacentral:rRNA from 1 species
UACGUAGGGACCAAGCGUUGUUCGGAUUUACUGGGCGUAAAGGGCGCGUAGGCGGCGCGACAAGUCACUUGUGAAAUCUCUGGGCUUAACUCAGAACGGCCAAGUGAUACUGCAGUGCUAGAGUGCAGAAGGGGCAAUCGGAAUUCUUGGUGUAGCGGUGAAAUGCGUAGAUAUCAAGAGGAACACCUGAGGUGAAGACGGGUUGCUGGGCUGACACUGACGCUGAGGCGCGAAAGCCAGGGGAGCAAACGGG